rnacentral:rRNA from 1 species
CCUACGGGUGGCAGCAGUGGGGGAUAUUGCACAAUGGGGGAAACCCUGAUGCAGCGACGCCGCGUGGGUGAAGAAGCGCCUCGGCGCGUAAAGCCCUGUCAGCAGGGAAGAAAAUGACGGUACCUGAAGAAGAAGCCCCGGCUAACUACGUGCCAGCCGCCGCGGUAAUACGAAGGGGGCAAGCGUUAUCCGGAUUUACUGGGUGUAAAGGGCGCGCAGACGGCGGUGCAAGCCAGGAGUGAAAGCCCGGGGCCCAACCCCGGGACUGCUCUUGGAACUGCGUGGCUAGAGUGCAGGAGGGGCAGGCGGAAUUCCUGGUGUAGCGGUGAAAUGCGUAGAUAUCAGGAGGAACACCGGUGGCGAAGGCGGCCUGCUGGACUGCAACUGACGUUGAGGCCCGAAAGCGUGGGGAGCAAACAGGAUUAGAUACCCGAGUAGUC